CCUACGGGAGGCAGCAGUGGGGAAUAUUGCACAAUGGGGGAAACCCUGAUGCAGCGACGCCGCGUGAGUGAAGAAGUAUCUCGGUAUGUAAAGCUCUAUCAGCAGGGAAGAAAAUGACGGUACCUGAUUAAGAAGCCCCGGCUAACUACGUGCCAGCAGCCGCGGUAAUACGUAGGGGGCAAGCGUUAUCCGGAUUUACUGGGUGUAAGGGGAGCGUAGACGGCAGCACAAGUCUGGAGUGAAAUGCCGGGGCUUAACCCCGGAACUGCUUUGGAAACUGUGCGGCUAGAGUGCAGGAGAGGUAAGUGGAAUUCCUAGUGUAGCGGUGAAAUGCGUAGAUAUUAGGAGGAACACCAGUGGCGAAGGCGGCUUACUGGACUGUAACUGACGUUGAGGCUCGAAAGCGUGGGGAGCAAACAGGAUUAGAUACCCGGGUAGUC
rnacentral:rRNA from 1 species